rnacentral:tRNA from 1 species
GGGCCUGUAGCUUAGCGGGAAAGCGCGCGACUGAAGAUCGUGAGAUCGUUGGUUCAAAUCCGACCAGGCCCA